GUAGGUGGCAAGCGUUGUCCGGAAUUAUUGGGCGUAAAGCGCGCGCAGGCGGUUCUUUAAGUCUGAUGUGAAAGCCCACGGGCUCAACCGUGGAGGGUCAUUGGAAACUGGAGAACUUGAGUACAGAAGAGGAAAGCGGAAUUCCACGUGUAGCGGUGAAAUGCGUAGAGAUGUGGAGGAACACCAGUGGCGAAGGCGGCUUUCUGGUCUGUAACUGACGCUGAGGCGCGAAAGCGUGGGGAGCAAACAGGAUUAGAUACCCUGGUAGUCCACGCCGUAAACGAUGAGUGCUAAGUAUUAGGGGGUUUCCGCCCCUUAGUGCUGCAGCUAACGCAUUAAGCACUCCGCCUGGGGAGUACGGCCGCAAGGCUG
rnacentral:rRNA from 1 species